CCUACGGGAGGCAGCAGUGGGGAAUAUUGCACAAUGGGCGCAAGCCUGAUGCAGCAACGCCGCGUGAGGGACGACGGCCUUCGGGUUGAAACCUCUUUUGAGAGAGAAACGGUACUUGCAGAAAAAGCGCCGGCUAACUACGUGCCAGCAGCCGCGGUAAUACGUAGGGCGCAAGCGUUAUCCGGAAUUAUUGGGCGUAAAGAGCUCGUAGGCGGUUUGUCGCGUCUGCUGUGAAAUCCCGAGGCUCAACCUCGGGUCUGCAGUGGGUACGGGCAGACUAGAGUGCGGUAGGGGAGAUUGGAAUUCCUGGUGUAGCGGUGGAAUGCGCAGAUAUCAGGAGGAACACCGAUGGCGAAGGCAGAUCUCUGGGCCGUACUGACGCUGAGGAGCGAAAGGGUGGGGAGCAAACAGGAUUAGAUACCCUUGUAGUC
rnacentral:rRNA from 1 species